ACGAAGCUUGACGGAUGAUUCUUCGGAAUGAAACCUGAUAUGACUUAGUGGCGGACGGGUGAGUAACACGUGAGCAACCUGCCUUUCAGAGGGGGAUAACGGCUGGAAACGGUCGCUAAUACCGCAUGAUGUGUUCGGAUGGCAUCAUCUGAACAUCAAAGAUUUAUCGCUGAAAGAUGGGCUCGCGUCUGAUUAGAUAGUUGGUGGGGUAACGGCCUACCAAGUCUACGAUCAGUAGCCGGACUGAGAGGUUGAACGGCCACAUUGGGACUGAGAUACGGCCCAGACUCCUACGGGAGGCAGCAGUGGGGAAUAUUGCACAAUGGGGGAAACCCUGAUGCAGCAACGCCGCGUGAAGGAUGACGGUUUUCGGAUUGUAAACUUCUUUUCUUAGUGACGAAGACAGUGACGGUAGCUAAGGAAUAAGCAUCGGCUAACUACGUGCCAGCAGCCGCGGUAAUACGUAGGAUGCAAGCGUUAUCCGGAUUUACUGGGUGUAAAGGGAGCGCAGGCGGGACUGCAAGUUGGAUGUGAAAUACCGUGGCUUAACCACGGAACUGCAUCCAAAACUGUAGUUCUUGAGUGAAGUAGAGGCAAGCGGAAUUCCGAGUGUAGCGGUGAAAUGCGUAG
rnacentral:rRNA from 1 species